GGGAGUUCCCAGGGUCUGCUCUUCCACUGGGGAGUGGAAGAGAGAUAUCCUGUUCAAGGCUGGUUCAGCCACCAGCUAGAUUCAGGAGCCCUGACUCCUGAUGGAAUGGUGAACCAGGGUGGAAACCAGGACAUGAAAUAAGGCUGCAGAAACUACGUGCUGAAAGGAAUAUAGUUGUGUGGGGAAUCUAGUAUGUCAACAUCACCAGUGUAGCGUUUACUGCAUGCAAGAACUUUCCAGCAGUCCCUGGGGAACACUUCCUCUAAUCCCUUGCUAACUAAAAUGAAGUGUGGCAUCAGCCCAGCAGCGGCAGUGCCCCCCGGAGGUGUUAGAAAGGCAGAACUUCAGGCUCUACCUUGGAGCUGCUGAAUCUGAAUCUCAUUUAACAAGAUCCUCAGGAGAAGCAAAUGCACUGUCCUACCACAGUCUUCAUAACAUUCUUCCAGGGACAAGUCCAUCUGCAAGAUGCAGAAAUGAGCAUUGAUCUGGGGGAAUUUGAUCAGCAAUAAUCAAUCCCUCUAGCCACAGGAACUGGUGCCUGAUAAUAACAUAAUGCAAAGCAAGGCAAUAAGCCUCUAGCAAGCCUACUGACUUGACUUGGAAAAUCUGUGGAGUUUUGACUCACUAUCAGCUACAGCUGGAGCAGUGUGCAGCGUGAUGCAUGUGCUCAGUGCACGGCUGCUUAAAUGAGAGGACACACACAUCAACUCCCCUUAUACAGAGGAGGAAAAGGAGCUUUGUAAAAGGACAUGGCAGUAAACCUCCCGUCUGAGCCUGUAGCUCAUGCCUUUGCAUGUUUCAGCAAGAAUGAAGAAUAUCAGUCAAGAGUUUCCACAUCACGCCUGCCAGGGCUAUACCCUGGGUAUUUACAGAGUCGAGGACACUGAGACCAAUAUAACAGUUUCAGGCCUCAUCAACAGCAGGGAGAACCACAAAUCACAAACUUCUUUUGCACUGGGAAAGGUGUUGCCAUGGGAACAGGGCUGCUGGCCAUUUGGCCAUCUCACUCAUCUCUAGAGGAAGGCAGGUGAGGAAGGUGAGAGUCACAGUCAGGUAGGAAGGCCUGCGAUAAGAUCCAAGGAAGAUGGGGGAUGUACUUCUACCAUGUGUCAUGUUGGUAGCAAAUGCAGUAAGAAUAAAAUGUCACCAUCUGAUCCACAUUACAUCUGAAUAGAACAUCAUCUAGCGGCGUUUCCUUGCCUCUAUAUGAUUAUAGGCUGUGUUGACAUCAAAGAGAUAUAAUAAAGCAUAUUGGCCUAACAGAACAUAUUA